CCGACUGGUCUAAACUCCAGUUCCGGGCGAGUCUCUGGGAACCCAGACUCAUACGGGGAGAAACUGGACUGUCUGGCAUCAGUCGGA
rfam:Myotis lucifugus cont2.359, whole genome shotgun sequence.